rnacentral:lncRNA from 1 species
GCCGACGACGCCAGACAGACGGGCAGACGGCGUCAUGUAAAAAGGGAGACACUCAAUCGAUCGCCGCGAAGCGGCAUUUAGAAAAAAAAUUUCGGGGUGUUUUUUUGUGCGUAGGCGACACAAAGGGACGGUGAGCCGACGCAGGAGCAGACGGGCGGGCGAGGGCACUGGCGCCGCCGCCGACGGCAAAUGGAGGGCGGCAUUUUUUCUGGGGCGACGCCUUUGCAGACAGACGGGAAAAGAAAGAGGAAAAUCCAAAAGAAAAAAGAGACGCCAAGAGCGCCCAAGAUCCAAGAGAGGAAAAAAAGGCGGCAGCGACAGCGCGGCGAUGUGCAAUACGGAUCGUGUUUGUUGGCGGGCCGACAAAAUCGCGCGACGACAACAUGGCAUGGGUCGGCGGGCGACGCGCGAGCGCCACCAACAAAUCGAGCGGCAAAAUUUGCGAGGUACCAGGAUAUAUGUAGGAAAAAACCGGGAUAAAUCAAGACAUUUACUUGUCGAAAAACCGGGAUAAAUCAAGACACGAAAGUAUGUCUUUCUUUUGCGGC